rnacentral:rRNA from 2 species
UCCAUGAAGUCGGAAUCGCUAGUAAUCGUAGAUCAGAAUGCUACGGUGAAUACGUUCCCGGGCCUUGUACACACCGCCCGUCACACCAUGGGAGUGGGUUGCAAAAGAAGUAGGUAGCUUAACCUUCGGGAGGGCGCUUACCACUUUGUGAUUCAUGACUGGGGUGAAGUCGUAACAAGGUAACCGUAGGGGAACCUGCGGUUGGAUCACCUCCUUA